rfam:Pan troglodytes isolate Yerkes chimp pedigree #C0471 (Clint) chromosome 22, whole genome shotgun sequence.
GCUGGGCAUGGUGGUUCAUGCCUGUAAUCCCAGCACUUUGGGAGGCCGAGGCGGGUGGAUCACCUGAGGUCAGGAGUUCAAGACCAGCCUGGCCAACAUGGUGAAACCCCGUCUCUA